CACCGCCUGGGGAGUACGACCGCAAGGUUAAAACUCAAAUGAAUUGACGGGGACCCGCACAAGCAGUGGAGCAUGUGGUUUAAUUCGAAGAUACGCGCAGAACCUUACCAACACUUGACAUGUUCGUCGCGAACCUAAGAAAUUGGGUUCUUCAGUUUGGCUGGACGAAACACAGGUGCUGCAUGGCUGUCGUCAGCUCGUGUCGUGAGAUGUUGGGUUAAGUCCCGCAACGAACGCAACCCUUACUUUUAGUUGCUACCAUUCAGUUGGGCACUCUAAAAGAACUGCCAGUGAUAAGCUGGAGGAAGGUGGGGAUGACGUCAAGUCCUCAUGGCCCUUAUGUGUUGGGCUACACACGUGCUACAAUGGUACUUACAGUGAGAAGCAAAGAGGCAACUCUAAGCCAAUCCCAAAAAGGUACCUCAGUUCGGAUUGUACUCUGCAACUCGAGUGCAUGAAGCUGGAAUUGCUAGUAAUCGCGGAUCAGCGCGCCGCGGUGAAUACGUUCCCGGGUCUUGUACACACCGCCCGUCACACCAUGGAAGUUGGUUACACCUUAAGGCAAAAUGUUAACCUUCGGGAAACAUUUGACUACGGUACGACCAGCGACUGGGGUGAAGUCGUAACAAGGUAGCCGUAGGGGAACCUGCGGCUGGAUCACCUCCUUUCUAAGGAAAUCGAAAAUAAUAUUUUUGAUUUAAAAAAAACGGUAAUGUGACCGUCCUCAUUUCUCUUCUUUUAAUGUCUCUGAGUAAAAAUAAUGUAAGGGGCCGGUAGCUCAGGUGGUUAGAGCGCACCCCUGAUAAGGGUGAGGUCGGAAGUUCGAGUCUUCCUCGGCCCACCAAAUUUUCGGGGGAUUAGCUCAGCUGGGAGAGCGCCUGAUUUGCAUUCAGGAGGUCAGCGGCUCGAUCCCGCUAUCCUCCACCAAAGAUUUGAGACAUUUAGCUUUUUUAAAUUGUGAAUAUUAUUAUCAAUAUCUAUAUCCGAUUGUUUUCAGAUAUUUUUUUGAAAGCAAUCAAAACAAAAAUUUGAAUUUUACACAGAAAAUUUUUUCUG
rnacentral:sRNA from 1 species